GUCAGUUCUGUGUGGGUUUCAUGGAGUCUGCGGGCUGCUUGUGCCCUCGCAUGCUGCUUCGUGGUGCCUUGAGAGCUCAGCAGGAUGGAGUCACCAGAGAAGCAGCAGGAGGAUGCAGUGGCUUUCAUGCAGGGCAAAAAGUGCCCCCCAAAGAAGAAUGGUGUCACAGGCUGGAUUCUGAGGAACCUUCGGAAGACCUUCCAGAGGCCGACCUCCCUGCAGCUCUCUUCUCCCAUGGCUCUUUCUCAGCGUUGCACAGCCUCUUGUCCAAACCUGAUAAUAAGUAGAAGUGAGGCCCGUGAAGAGAACCAUGGGGAUGUGGUGCCUGUUGCCGUUCAGCGUGGUGGGACUCACUGCUCCUUAUCGCCAGCGCCAGCAGGAGAUGGCUGUUCCAACAACACAACACUCCGGGGCUGGUGGAGCAGUCUGCAGGUCCAGAUGGCAUCCCGUUCCUGUGCCCUCAGACCCAGUCUUGCACCUGCUUCUCCUAUGCCUCGUUCAGCAAACUCCCCUUCCAAGGCCAAACUCUCCAGCCACUUCUCCCUCUUCUCACCACCAUCCUGGAUCCCUGAGCCUGAUUGCAGUCUUCUGCCUUGUGCUGGCUCCAAGAAACCUCGCAGAGGGAGCUGGAAGAAGAACUCUCACUGCGAAGAGCCCCCUGGUCCCAAAUCAGAAGAAUCUGCACAUUUCCCCUUCGCAGGACCCAUAAUUGCUCAGAUAACUGACUACAUCUACCUGGGGAACCUCAAUGCAGCCUACAGCGGCCGGGCGCUGUGCACAAAUGGCAUUGACAACAUCAUUGACAUGAGCAGCCUGCCCAGUGACCACAGACUGAGCAUCAUCCCCUGCACAUGUGGGAGGGGAGGAUUUAGGCACAACUGGUCACGCCUCAGGGUUGACAUCCAGGCUUUCCUGCAUGGAAAUCUUCAUGAAAUAAGGCAGCCAUGCUUCCUGGUCAUCAACGAGUGCAUCGAAGCCUUGAUGGAGAAAGGGAAGCGUGUUCUCAUUCACUGCAGGGAUGGUUACUCCUUAGGCCCUACCUGUGUCAUCCAAUACCUGAUGGUCAAGCACAGCAUGAGACUGCUAGCAGCCUAUGAACUUGUGAGGGCACGCUACCCACUGAAAAUCCAAGAGUGCCAUCAGGACCUACUGGUGGGUUUAGAGAUGUCCCUGCAGCCUGGUGGCGUCAACAUAGCAUGCCUGAAGCACUCCCUGUCAAGGAAGAUGGCAUGGAGCUAAACAGGCAUAAUGGCUGAAGAAGAAAAGCCAAAAGGAAAAUAACCUUAAGUCCAUCUCAUGGGCAAAUGAGAUGACUGUUGGUGUGGGGUAUGUGCUGACAAGAUGCAAAGGUGGUGGCCUUUCUUUGCAGCAGUUCCUAGAGGCUGGUACUGGCAGAAGUACAGCAUGGGGAGCUCUUAGAGACACACUAGAGGGAGGGGGAAAAGGACUCAUUUAAGCAGAGGCUGAAUGUCGUUUUUCAGUCUUAAUGUAAGGAAAUCCCCUGUGCUCCAGUUUGAAGAAGACUUUUCUUGGGAACUUUUGUUCCUAAGGAUGCAAGUACAUAUCACCUCCGUGUCAGGGGGUUAGAACUGCACGGUCUUUUAAGGUCCCUUCUAACCCAAGCCAUUUUGUAGUUCAAUGUGCCUCAGUCUCAUGUUCUUUUUGGGUAAGAAGAGAGCCAGCCACUGGAUUGCUCAGUUGUUCUGCCUGAGAUGAUGUAGUCAUCUGUAGUAACGGGUUGGACUAGUCCCUGUCCACUCAAUGCUAGUAGGGUGCUGAGGAGAAGAACAUCGGUGUAAAGGUGGGGAGAUGGCUGUGAGAGGCAGCUUGCACAGAUCCAUCAGCCCAGUGCUUCCAUCAUGUGCUGGUUCCCUGGAGGAACCUGGUCCAGAAGCGUCACGUUUGAGCGUCUCUACAACACGAUGCAGAACCUCCUGUAAGUGUGAACCUUUGCUUCUGAGCAGCUUUGCAGGCAGGUGGAUGUGCUCUGAGAUUGGUGGCCCAUGUCCCUGGUGCAUUGCUUUAGCACGAGGGGAGAGGAACAAGGGAUGGAGGCUGGUCUACUCCAUGGGAAAGGUACCCAAACUUGAACUCUGUGUCCACUCUUGGUUCCCGCACAAUGCUCGCAUUCCUGUUCCAUGUUCUCAGAGCUAAGACAGCUGACUGCUCACAGUCUUCCCUGAAGGACUUGCAUGGAGCUUCCUUAUGCUCUCCUUGGGUUUUUCUGCAAGGAACUCGUUCAUUUGUCGCUCAAACACUUGCAUUACUUCACUUGGAAACCUCUGUUUUUCUUAAUGUUAACUAUUGUUUUGUGGGCUUUUUUGUUGGUUUUUGUUUUUUUUUUUUCUUCCAGCUGCUCACUGGGUUUCUUCCUCAGUCUAGAUCUGGGGCCCCUUUCUUUUUUUGGAGGGCUGCUGCCCUAUGGUUUAACCUCUUUGCAAGGCAGCUCCAGGGAAGUUUCUUUGCAGACUGAGAGAUUCAGCCUUUCGCUCACCCUAUUACCACAUCUUACCCUCGAGGACUCCUGUAUCUCACUAAUCUGUUAACCAACGUUUGGUUCAUGGGACUUUUCUUUGUGUUCCUUCAACCCACUCUCUGCACUGACCUGAAGAAAUGAAGUGAAAGGAGAGCUGCCAUCUGGAGGACUCGGUGGGACAGCAGUGCAUGUAAUUCUGUAGGGAGCUGGAGAAAAUGACUGGAGAAUCUUUGGUAAGGGUAAUAAAGAGUUGGUUUAACUUUAGAGCCAAAUAUGGCCUAAGGAUUUGGUAGUGAAGGAAAUGUGAAACAACUUCUCAGUGGGUGAGUGCUGCUCCUGGCUGCUGAGGGUGGCUGCUGUCUGUUUCUGACUGUACUUACUUUAGUCCCUGUUCUUUAUUUUUCUGAGAAACUGGCUUGAAUUGGGAGAGGCAGGCAACUUAGGAGGAUCUACGGGGUGAUAUCUCUCAUCUACAGGCCAUGAAGUGACACCAAGAGUCCUGAUGUAGGAGGGUUGUGGUGAUUUCACUACUCAAACCAUCUAGCUCUCAACAUUUCAGCGUGACUAAUCCUGAGCAGACCCAGCCUUACCCACACAGGAUGCCUGUCCCAUCUUGAGCUCUUAGUCUUCCUUUACAGUAUGUGCAGUGCUGUGUGCAUGAUGUUACAGGAAGUCUGCAGCAGCAUGUUUGCUGCUAUCUGUAACAUCCAAGAGAAGAAUUUGUCGCAGCCACAUCUGAAUCAGCUUAAAACCCUUUGGCUGACAGGGGAGGGAGCGCCUGGGCCGUGGGAGGAGGACAAGAGCUGUUUGGGCUCUUGUCUCCAUGGGAUCCCCUACACACACAUGCUACAUCUGCUGUGGAUAGGGCUGGUGAAUAUUUCCAGUGCCAUUUCUAUCUGUCUCUCGCUUGCGCCAUGGGUAUGUGGAUUUGAGGUUGCCUCACUUGCUGGUAGCAUGGGGUUACCCAGCAGCAGCAGCUCCAUAGCCUUGAGUGGUUUUGUUCUUUCUUAAUAAAAACUUUACACCUAGUAUUAAAAUAUUUCACGUGGGGAGGAGAAGCAGCACAUAUUUUUCUGUGUGGUAACUGAGGUUAAAAGAAGAUGCUGGCACUGAAUGGCUCGCUCAGGGAUGGCUCUCCUAUGUGCUGCCGGUGGCUGAAUGUUGGUGGGGUGAUGCGUAUGCUGCGGGCUCCUUCCAGCCAGUGUUCCCCAAGGGCAGAGCUGCUCCUCUCCUGCAGGGGCUGCCUGGCCUGCCCCAGCCAAGGGAGGUGCAUGGGGGCUCUUGCACACCAUUGGUCUGAGAAGGUCUCCAUGCCCUUAAAGAGAAGGUGGAUUUUCUGCUGAGCCACCCGAGAAGCCCUUUUAUACCUCCUUCCCCGGCCAGCUGCUUGCGGCUUGCCAGUCAGUCCUGGCCGGCCAGCGGGGCUCUCUGUUCCUUCUCCGGACUCGGGUUCACAACCAUCUAAAGCAAGAUGUCUGA